AUCAUUACAGGUUAUACUUCUUUUAGCCAGCUUUUUGCUGCAGAGCUGUCAGCUCUUUUGCAGACUGUGCCAAAGAAAAAUAGUGUGCUGUUCUCUUCAGUUGUUCAGCACUACCGUACAGGAGGGAAACAGCUGGCAGCAAAUGGUUUUCUAAAUGAGACAGCUGGUAACUCUCACCAAGAUCACUGGACACACAUUUGAGACGCAAAAAGAGAAGCAAAGCCAAAGAUAAACACAAACAAACAAACAAAAUUUUAACAGGCAGAAGCCAGACAACAUCUUGGUCAGAUCAGAUGUGGCAAAAUAUAGACAACACAUCAAGCAAAUUGUGGGGAUCAGACUAAUUAACAAUGAAUGAAUAUGGUGUGCAAUACAUAUUUCUGAAAAUGAAGUUAGACUGGUAAUAACUCACACUGUGCCCCCAUAGA